rnacentral:lncRNA from 1 species
CACCAUUGUAGAUGUGCGGGCGAGCUAUCGGUGUUGACUGUUCUCGGCUGGUCACAGUGGUUCAGUUGCAUCGAGAACAAGCAACCACUCUAUUAGUAAAGAGUUACUCCAGAGUAAAGACUGGGUUGGGCCCAAUAACUGUUAGGUGAGGGAUCCAAUGACGGCCUUACACCUGCUUGUGAACAGUGGGUCAGGCUUAACUAAGAAGUAUGGACAAUAACUGUUAGGUGAGC